UAAUCACGCUCGCCGGAGAAAAUGGAUUGGAGGGAAAUCGACGGCGUCUUUCCUCCUCAGCCAAACUACAGUAGCAAAGCCUUCCAGCUCUUACGGUUUUGCUUUGGGCUGGUGGUGAUGGUGGAUCAGCGAUGGCUUCAACUUGGGGAAGUUGUCGCAGCUGUUUGUGCUGAAAUGUUGUCAACGAUAUGCCUGAUGAUCCAGACAGCUGGAGUUGGACAGAAUGGAUGGAGGUACUGUCACUGACACUGAGUUAGUCCUGCUGCCUUUGUAGCCAGAGGAACUUGGUUGAUCGAAUCAUUGAGCUACCAUGGAACCCGGAUGUGGAAAAGUAUCUUCAUGGAUGCGUAUUAGAUUGUGCAACUGAUGAUCCUUCACCAGCUGCAGGAAGUCUGUUGGUCGAACUUUCAUCUUCAGAUCUUUUGGCCUUUGACUGGGAGUUCCUGGUGUUGGUUAUUGCUGCAGUGUUUUCGUCGCUCUUAGAAAAUGGAGGAGGCUUUUGUACUUUUAAGUAGAGUCACUGAAGAAGUUAUGUCAAGAUCAAGAAUGAGAUUCCGGAUUCACCGGAGAGAAGAGUGAGUUUGCAGGAAAAGGACAGAAGAGUAAAAGACAGAUAGCUUCACAGACAAUGGUGCCAGAGAGAGAGAGAGCAGUAGCAGUGUUGCUGUAAGGAAGGAGAUGGAACAGUGGCUAAAAAAACAUUUCAUGUUAAAGAAAUGGUUUUUGAGAUUGAGCAUUAAAAAAUAAUGGUUCUUAGGGUUACGUCUAUAUAUUGCUGAUAAAAUUAUGUUCGAGGUACAUUUGGGUUAUGGUUUCAUAUUAAAUAU